GACUGACGGGUAUCGAGGCCCGCCUCGAAAUCUCGAUGCUGGAGAGGGCUCUUGCGGUGGGCCUUUUACGUGUGUAGACGCUGGAGGUCCGCAGAAAGGAUACUGUGUCGGAGGAGGUAAAGCACAAGAGAGUGCUUUGUAACCGGGAAGUGCCUUUCAAAAGAGCUUACUUUUGGUUUGGUGGAAGAAGGACCCUGGAGCUUGUUGAUGCUGAAAAUGUUCAUCUCAGACGUCCUUGUCCUUGAGCCUGUUCUGUUGGGGAGAUGGCUGAGCACCUCCUGAUUUGCUCCUGCUACCUGGUAGAGACGGAACACCUGAUCAUGGGACAUCAAGUGACCAUGUGAAUAAUAAAACCACCCAUCAUGAACUGGUGUUAUCUGAUUCACCGAACCAUACAACUGGAUGAGCACAGAAGCAGUCUACUCCCUAUGAGACUGGGACAUGGCUACAAUUAAACUAAAUGAGCAGGUGACUCAGACUCCUAUAGUCCCUGACUCUACUCCUUCAGCACUUCCCCCCAAACCCAUAUAAAUUGGCUUCAUGAGGAGUUCUUUCUGACCAAUUAAUGGAAGAGAAAAAAGCAUGGGUCCUGUUUGUUCAUGGAAGAAUCUCAGUGAGCUGGCAAUAGCUGGAUGUGAGUGGUCACUACACACCACCAUCACUCAUUAGUGGCCCUGACCCAGAAUAGUAAAGGGAAAUCCUUCCAUAGGGAAGAAUUUUAGGAGACAUGGCCUGAGGUAAGGGUAUACACUGGUUUGUUGUCAGCAGCUUAUGAGUUGACUGGCUAGACAAAAACUUGGAGAGAACAAAUUGGAAAGCUGGUUCCAUUUAUGAGGCCAGCUGGGAUACAAUAACCUGCAAAUUGGGGAUGCUGACCUAAAGAAUUAAGUAUAUGCUUAAAAUCAGUAAUCAGUAUCUGGUGCCACCUUUCCCAAAAUGUAUGCAGAGUGGAGAUGAGAGUAGUCCCUCUAUUUUCAGUAUGACUAAUUUUGUAAAAAAACAAACAAACAACUGGUGGCAUGUUUUCCAAACUUGGUGAAAAGCAUAAAACUACAAAUCCACAAAAGCUCAGUAAAUCACAAGCAGAAAAAUUGCAAUGAAAGUCACACCUAUGCAUGUUACAGUCAAACUGAUAAAACUAAUUCAGAAAAACACUUAAAAGCAUCCAGAGAAAUUAUACAUUAUACACAAGAUGGCAGUUAUAUGAAUUUUUUUAAAAGGAUGCAUAACAUAUAGAAAAAUUCACAAAUAUAAUUGUUCAGCAUGACUUGCCACAAAGUGAAGAUAACUAUGUAAUCACCACCCACAUCAAUAACUAUGUCCCUUAGUCAUUGCUCUUCUUCCUUCCCAAAGGUAAUCAUCAUCCUGAAUUCUAACACCAAAGAUUAGGUUUGACAGUGGUUAACCUUUAUAUAAAUUGAAUACAUGACAGUGGUUAACUUUUAUAUAAAUUGAAUAAUGUAUUCUUUAGUGUCUGGCUUCUUUUAUUUAACGUGAGAUUCAUCCAUGUUGUUACCUGGAGCAGUUGUUCAUUCAUUUUCAUUGCUAUACAGUAUUCUACUUUAUAAAUAUACCACAUUUAUUUAUCCAUUUUACUGUUGA